rnacentral:rRNA from 1 species
AGAGUUUGAUCCUGGCUCAGAUUGAACGCUGGCGGCAUGCUUUACACAUGCAAGUCGAACGGCAGCACAGGGAGCUUGCUCCCGGGUGGCGAGUGGCGCACGGGUGAGUAAUACGAUCGGAACGUGUCCUGUUNUGGGGGGAUAACUGCUCGAAAGGGUGGCUAAUACCGCAUGAGACCUGAGGGUGAAAGCGGGGGAUCGUAAGACCUCGCGCAAUUGGAGCGGCCGAUGCCCGAUUAGCUAGUUGGUGAGGUAAAGGCUCACCAAGGCGACGAUCGGUAGCUGGUCUGAGAGGACGACCAGCCACCACUGGGACUGAGACACGGCCCAGACUCCUACGGGAGGCAGCA